rnacentral:rRNA from 1 species
UACGUAGGGAGCAAGCGUUGUCCGGAAUCAUUGGGCGUAAAGCGCGCGUAGGUGGCUUCAUAAGUCCGUUGUGAAAGUCAAAGGCUCAACCUUUGAAAGCCGAUGGAUACUGUGGAGCUAGAGUACGGAAGAGGCGAGUGGAAUUCCUGGUGUAGCGGUGGAAUGCGCAGAUAUCAGGAGGAACACCAAUAGCGAAGGCAGCUCGCUGGGACGUUACUGACGCUGAGACGCGAAAGCGUGGGGAGCAAACAGG